AGAACGAACGCUGGCGGCAUGCCUAAUACAUGCAAGUCGAACGAACACUUCGGUGUUAGUGGCGCACGGGUGCGUAGCGCGUGGGAAUCUGCCCUUGGGUUCGGAAUAACAGUUGGAAACGACUGCUAAUACCGGAUGAUAUCGAAAGAUCAAAGAUUUAUCGCCCAGGGAUGAGCCCGCGUAGGAUUAGCUAGUUGGUGAGGUAAAGGCUCACCAAGGCGACGAUCCUUAGCUGGUCUGAGAGGAUGAUCAGCCACACUGGGACUGAGACACGGCCCAGACUCCUACGGGAGGCAGCAGUAGGGAAUAUGGACAAUGGGCGCAAGCCUGAUCCAGCAAUGCCGCGUGAGUGAUGAAGGCCUUAGGGUUGUAAAGCUCUUUACCGAGAUGAUAAUGACAGUACCGGAGAAUAGCUCGGCUAACUCCGUGCCAGCACGCCGUAC
rnacentral:rRNA from 1 species